GCACAGCUGAGGAGUCCCACAACAGGACGAAACGGCCGUCCAGUGC
rnacentral:hammerhead_ribozyme from 1 species